rnacentral:tRNA from 1 species
AAUUAUUAAGCUUUAAAAGUUUAUGUCUUGAAAACAUAAGAUAGAAGUAAAAUCUUCUAAUAAUUU